UUUUUGCUCCACAUAUGCAUGCUUUCUACGAUUCGGAGAUCAGUGCAGCCCAAAGAUCACAUUGGAUUCUCCUCACUACACUCCAUCUUCUAACCUAGUCUGCAUCACGGCUAGGUGCAUCCGUUGCCAAGUUCAUCCAAUAUAUGCCAACCGCAUUGCAAGGACGACCAUAUGCACACACACACCACAGUCCACAGGAGACAGAUAGCUAGCUAGCUUACUCUUUAGUCAUACAUACACUUAUAAAUAGCCACCGGCUCUGUGCUCAUCAGCAAGGCAGAUUAAACAAGUGAAGUGGUCCACAUCAAAAAUGAAGUAAUCAGGUCUAGGGAGUCAAAAUUUGGUUGGUUGUCCACUGGAGUUCUCCUCAAUCCACUUCAGUAGAUAGCUAUGGCUAGGCCUCAUUGCAUUGCACUGUUACAUAACUGUGAUCAUGGGGCCAAAAGAUUUUCAAGUUAGGUAUGUAAGUGCUUGUACUUUAUGAAUUUGUAAGUGACAGAGAAUGAUUAGGUUUGGAGUCCCUAGGAGUUCCUUUCAAGCACUUUACGACACACUGUAUUGAGAGUUGUCGUGAAGUGUUUGGGGGAACUCUUAGUG
rnacentral:precursor_RNA from 1 species